rnacentral:lncRNA from 1 species
GGAACAAGAAGUCCUUUCUCCGUUGGGAGAUGCUCUGAAUGCAUGUUCUGAAGGUGCCAUCAUUUGAGAUGGAAGCUAUAUACUUCCACACACCCCAGACCAUGGACUGGAUAAGUAACAGUCUAGACCAAGCCUGGGGCAAGUCUAUCCUCCUUCUCUGUCAGUCCAGUGUGGUCUUUCCUGGGUGAUCUCUCAAAAGGAAAAAACUGUGCCUUAUCUGAGAUGCUAAAAGCCAAGAAUGAGUAAAUGACUGAAAAAGAAAGUCAGCAACAAAAGACAAUGGCGGCACAAUGGAGCGUGGUAUAAACCGAAUGGGUAGUUUCAGCGAGAGCAGAGUUAAUUAUUCCUAGGUGGGUUUGUGUGGGUGCUUUGUUUCAUUUUUCUUUGGUCUUUGAUAGGAAUCAGCAGACUGGGGGUGUAGUGUGGACAGCUCUCUAAUCAGGAGUCUGUGGACUGUCUUCUGGAUCUGCCACAGGCUAGUUCUGCGAUCCGUGAAUGUGGGCGAGUAUUUCUCAACUUCCAGGCUGCUACCUCCAGACCUGUUUCACGGUUGUGCAGAGAACAGGAAAUUUAGUCCACUGAGGUCACUACAGGUCACCCAAGCAUGACCGAGGGAAGGAUGAAGUGUUGGACUGUUGCCCCAGGGGUCUGCAUGGACAGCCAUGACCAAGACAUGGUCUGGAAGUUAUACUUUGUUUCCAUGACAACCUUGAGAACAAGCUUUCUCUUUUCAUUCCAUCCUCAUUCAUCAUUGCUGGUGAACUUAGAAGAGAAUUGUCCUUAAUUAAGGUACACUCAUCAGGACUUACUCUGGUCCUUGCUAUUUCUGAUGACCUACUAAGUGUUAUAAUAAGCAAGUCAAGGUACAAAGAGCAAUCACCAGGGACCACCACUACGUUUGUGCACCUUUGUGCUAAAUAUUUUAAGGUAGUUUUUCUCAUUCUUCAUCUACCAGAUUAUUUUAAUAUACUUAUAACUUUUCACAACAAGGCCUUGUUGGCCAAAAUAAACUAUCAAAACAAAUAUGAAAAUCC